rnacentral:rRNA from 1 species
AUUGAACGCUGGCGGCAGGCCUAACACAUGCAAGUCGAGCGAGCGGCGGACGGGUGAGUAAUGUCGGGGAAACUGCCUGAUGGAGGGGGAUAACUACUGGAAACGGUAGAUAAUACCGCAUACCAUCAGAUGUGCCCAGAUGGGAUUUGCUAGUAGGUGGGGUAACGGCUCACCUAGGCGACUAUCCCUAGCUGGGCUGAGAGGAUGACCAGCAACACUGGAACUGAGAAACGGACCAGACUCCUACGGGAGGCAGCAGGGGGGAAGAUUGCACAAUGGGCGCAAGCCUGAUGCAGCCAUGCCGCGUGUGUGAAGAAGGCCUUCGGGUUGUAAAGCACUGUCAGCGGGGAGGCGUUACCCACAGAAGAAGCACCGGCUAACGACGUGCCAGCAGCCGCGGUAAUUC